rnacentral:rRNA from 1 species
AUUGAACGCUGGCGGCAGGCCUAACACAUGCAAGUCGAGCGAGCGGCGGACGGGUGAGUAAUGUCUGGGAAACUGCCUGAUGGAGGGGGAUAACUACUGGAAACGGUAGCUAAUACCGCAUACCAUCAGAUGUGCCCAGAUGGGAUUAGCUAGUAGGUGGGGUAACGGCUCACCUAGGCGACGAUCCCUAGCUGGUCUGAGAGGAUGACCAGCCAACCUGGAACUGAGACACGGUCCAGACUCCUACGGGAGGCAGCAGUGGGGAAUAUUGCGCAAUGGGGGCAAGCCUGACACAGCCAUGCCGCGUGUAUGAAGAAGGCCUUCGGGUUGUAAAGUUCUUUCGGUGUUGAGGCGUUAAAUACAGAAGAAGCACCGGCUAACUCCGUGCCAGCAGCCGCGGUAAUAC